AGAAUCAACGCUGGCGGCGUGCCUAACACAUGCAAGUCGAACGAGAAAGGGUAGCAAUACCUGAGUAAAGUGGCGCACGGGUGAGUAACACGUGACUAACCUACCCUGGAGUGGGGGAUAACUGGGAGAAAAUCCUAGCUAAUACCGCAUAACACCUACGGGUCAAAGGAGCAAUUUCGCUUUCAGGAGGGGGUCGCGGCAGAUUAGAUAGUUGGCGGGGUAAUGGCCCACCAAGUCAGUGAUCUGUA
rnacentral:rRNA from 1 species